rnacentral:rRNA from 1 species
UACGGAGGGUGCAACCGUUGCUCGGAAUCAUUGGGCGUAAAGCGCACGUAGGCGGACCGCUAAGUCGGAUGUGAAAGCCCUCGGCUUAACCGAGGAAGUGCACUCGAAACUGACGGUCUUGAGUAUGGAAGAGGGUCGCGGAAUUCCCGGUGUAGAGGUGAAAUUCGUAGAUAUCGGGAGGAACACCAGUGGCGAAGGCGGCGACCUGGGCCAAUACUGACGCUGAGGUGCGAAAGCAUGGGGAGCGAACGGG